AGGGGCGUCCGUUAAUUGGCAAACGACUGCUCUCCAAAAGCAGCCCUGCAGGUUCGAGUCCUGCCGCCCCUGCAA
rnacentral:tRNA from 1 species